rnacentral:tRNA from 1 species
GGGGUCGUGGCCUAGUCCGGAAUGGCGACGGGCUCCAGCGGUCUUUGCGUGUGAUGAACAAUGGGUCUACUGAUCUGAUGAUGACCCGUUGGAGCGCUGAUGCAGAAUCUCGUUCCCCGCGCAUGUCGGAGAGACCCGUCGAUCGUGAGUUCAAAUCUCACCGACCCCA